rnacentral:rRNA from 1 species
CCUACGGGCGGCAGCAGUGAGGAAUAUUGGUCAAUGGACGAGAGUCUGAACCAGCCAAGUAGCGUGAAGGAUGACUGCCCUAUGGGUUGUAAACUUCUUUUAUAUGGGAAUAAAAUGUUCCACGUGUGGGAUUUUGUAUGUACCAUAUGAAUAAGGAUAGGCUAACUCCGUGCCAGCAGCCGCGGUAAUACGGAGGAUCCGAGCGUUAUCCGGAUUUAUUGGGUUUAAAGGGAGCGUAGGUGGAUUGUUAAGUCAGUUGUGAAAGUUUGCGGCUCAACCGUAAAAUUGCAGUUGAAACUGGCAGUCUUGAGUACAGUAGAGGUGUGCGGAAUUCGUGGUGUAGCGGUGAAAUGCUUAGAUAUCACGAAGAACUCCGAUUGCGAAGGCAGUUCACUGGACUGCAACUGACACUGAGGCUCGAAAGUGUGGGUAUCAAACAGGAUUAGAUACCCGGGUAGUC